rnacentral:rRNA from 1 species
UACGUAGGGUCCGAGCGUUGUCCGGAAUUAUUGGGCGUAAAGAGCUCGUAGGCGGUCUGUCGCGUCGGCUGUGAAAACUCAGGGCUCAACCCUGAGCCUGCAGUCGAUACGGGCAGACUAGAGUUCGGUAGGGGAGACUGGAAUUCCUGGUGUAGCGGUGAAAUGCGCAGAUAUCAGGAGGAACACCGGUGGCGAAGGCGGGUCUCUGGACAGUUCCUGACGCUGAAGCACGAAGGCCAGGGGAGCAAACGGG